AUGCCCCACUCAGCCAGAGCCCUGAGCAGAGACAUGGCCCGUCUGGUCCUGCCUGAAUCCUCCAGGGGCACCCGGCUCCUCUGCUGCAUGGUCCUGUGUCUGCUGGGACCAGGGUCAGUGGCUGCUGGAGUCACCCAGUCCCCAAGACACCUCAUCAAAGGCCUUGGUGGGGAGGCUGUUCUGAAAUGCCACCCCAUCUCAGGACACAACCGUGUGUACUGGUACCAACAGGCUCGGGGGCAGGAACCCAGCUUUCUCAUUCGGUAUUAUGAACAGCAGGAGUACGGGAAAGAAAAUUUCCCCGACCACUUCAAAGGAAAGCAGUUCAGAGACUACAGCUCCGAGCUGACCAUGCACACCUUGCAGCUGGGGGACUCGGCCGUGUACCUCUGUGCCAGCAGCGUAGACACAGCCCUGCAGGGCCCAUGCCUUUCUAGUAGGGAGCACUCAGUGCACCAUGUCAUCCACAGGGAGCUGCAGCUGCUGGACCUUCCACACGUCCCGUGCACGUCCAUCGUCCAUCUCCAUGCCUCUGAAGUCAACAAGCCCCUGGAUUCCAUCAUCGUACCAGGUCCUUGGUCCAUAGGCAAAGGAGAGGAUGCCGAUGGGUACAGUGCGUCUAGGGAGAACAUGGAGGACUUCCUGCUCACACUGGAGUCGGCCACCCCCUCCCAGACAUCUGUGUACUUCUGUGCCAGCAGAAAAGUGGUGAUCCACAGUGCUGCAUGA